UACGAAGGGUGCAAGCGUUACUCGGAAUUACUGGGCGUAAAGGGUGCGUAGGUGGUCGUUUAAGUCCGUUGUGAAAUCCCUGGGCUCAACCUGGGAAUGGCAGCGGAUACUGGACGGCUAGAAUGCGGUAGAGGGUAGUGGAAUUCCCGGUGUAGCAGUGAAAUGCGUAGAGAUCGGGAGGAACACCAGUGGCGAAGGCGGCUACCUGGACCAGCAUUGACACUCAAGCACGAAAGCGUGGGGAGCGAACAGG
rnacentral:rRNA from 1 species